UACAGAGGGUGCAAACGUUGCUCGGAAUCACUGGGCGUAAAGGGUGCGUAGGCGGGUCUUUAAGUCAGGGGUGAAAUCCUGGAGCUCAACUCCAGAACUGCCUUUGAUACUGAGGAUCUUGAGUACGGGAGAGGUGAGUGGAACUGCGAGUGUAGAGGUGAAAUUCGUAGAUAUUCGCAAGAACACCAGUGGCGAAGGCGGCUCACUGGCCCGUUACUGACGCUGAGGCACGAAAGCGUGGGGAGCAAACAGG
rnacentral:rRNA from 1 species